rnacentral:rRNA from 1 species
UACGUAGGGGGCAAGCGUUGUUCGGAUUUAUUGGGCGUAAAGAGCGUGUAGGCGGCUUGGUAGGUCCGCUGUGAAAACUCGAGGCUCAACCUCGAGAUGUCGGCGGAAACCAUCUGGCUAGAGUCCGGAAGAGGAGAGUGGAAUUCCUGGUGUAGCGGUGAAAUGCGCAGAUAUCAGGAAGAACACCCGUGGCGAAGGCGGCUCUCUGGGGACGGUACUGACGCUGAGACGCGAAAGCGUGGGGAGCGAACAGG